GGAGGAAAAGAAACUAACAAGGAUUCCCCUAGUAACUGCGAGUGAAGCGGGAAAAGCUCAAAUUUAAAAUCUGGCGGUCUUUGGCCGUCCGAGUUGUAGUCUGGAGAAGCGUUUUCCGCGUUGGACCGUGUACAAGUCUCUUGGAACAGAGCGUCAUAGAGGGUGAGAAUCCCGUCUUUGACACGGACUACCAAUGCUUUGUGAUGCGCUCUCAAAGAGUCGCGUUGUUUGGGAAUGCAGCGCAAAAUGGGAGGUGAAUUCCUUCUAAAGCUAAAUAUUGGCGAGAGACCGAUAGCGAACAAGUACCGUGAGGGAAAGAUGAAAAGCACUUUGGAAAGAGAGUUAAACAGUACGUGAAAUUGCUGAAAGGGAAACGCUUGAAGUCAGUCGCGUCGUCCGGAACUCAGCCUUGCUUCGGCUUGGUGCACUUUCCGGAUGACGGGCCAGCAUCGAUUUUGACCGCUGGAAAAGGGCUGGAGGAAUGUGGCACCUUCGGGUGUGUUAUAGCCUUCAGUCGCAUACAGCGGUUGGGAUCGAGGAACGCAGCACGCCUUAUGGCUGGGGUUCGCCCACAUUCGUGCUUAGGAUGCUGGCAUAAUGGCUUUAAACGA
rnacentral:rRNA from 1 species